UCCAGCUUAUCGCUGGCGGUCUCAGGAUGUCAAACCCUGGUAAGGUUCUGCGCGUUGCGUCGAAUUAAACCACAUGCUCCACCGCUUGUGCGGGCCCCCGUCAAUUCCUUUGAGUUUCAACCUUGCGGCCGUACUCCCCAGGCGGAUUGCUUAAUGCGUUAGCUGCGCCACUGAACAGCAAGCUGCCCAACGGCUAGCAAUCAUCGUUUACGGCGUGGACUAC
rnacentral:misc_RNA from 1 species